rnacentral:rRNA from 1 species
UACGAAGGGGGCUAGCGUUGCUCGGAAUCACUGGGCGUAAAGGGUGCGUAGGCGGGUCUUUAAGUCAGGGGUGAAAUCCUGGAGCUCAACUCCAGAACUGCCUUUGAUACUGAGGAUCUUGAGUACGGGGGAGGUGAGUGGAACUGCGAGUGUGGAGGUGAAAUUCGUAGAUAUUCGCAAGAACACCAGUGGCGAAGGCGGCUCACUGGCCCGUUACUGACGCUGAGGCGCGACAGCGUGGGGGAGCAAACGAGGG